UUCACAAUGUAAGUCAUUCUAGCAUUUCCCACAUUCAUGCUAAUGUUAAUAAAUUUAGACAUAUAUAUCUAUCUAGAUUCAUUAACAUCAAUACGAAUGUAGGAAAUGCUAAAAUAACUUACAUUGUGAAA
rnacentral:misc_RNA from 1 species